GUUUGGUAGGCCAUCACAUAUGGCCUGGCUGCGCUGAGGAAUUUAUCCCUGAAACAGGCUGAGCAGGUCUUCAUCUGCGGUCCAGUUUAUCAUCACAGUGAAGUAGAGGACUUCAAUCAAAAAAUAAACAAACAACUGAAGAAAGAAGGAAGGCCAUUUAGUUGAAGUCGUUGCGAUCCAAGUCCCUGGAUAAAAAAAAACAACGUUAAUGUGUGAAUUUUAAUAUUUGAAUUUUGUUAUUAUUUCAAAUACAUUUUAUAACCCCAAGUCUUCCUUGUGUCUCUGAUAUGUGGUUGGGAGUUCUAGGACACAUUCUAAGACAAAGUAAUAUUUAGGUGAUGAUAUUUGGGUGAAAUACACAUUAAAAGGUGUAAUUAGUUAGUUAAAUUGGUGAUAUUUGGGUGAAAUAAACAUUAAAAAUUGCAAGUAGUUAGCUGAAUUGGUGAUAUUUGGGUGAAAUAAACAUUGUAAAGUGUAAAUAGCUGAAUUGGUGAUAUUUGGGUGAAAUAAACAUUAUAAAGUGUAAAUAGCUGAAUUGGUGAUAUUUGGGUGAAAUAAACAUUAUAAAGUGUAAAUAGCUGAAUUGGUGAUAUUUGGGUGAAAUAAACAUUAUAAAGUGUAAAUAGCUGAAUUGGUGAUAUUUGGGUGAAAUAAACAUUAUAAAGUGUAAAUAGCUGAAUUGGUGAUAUUUGGGUGAAAUAAACAUUAUAAAGUGUAAUUAGCUGAAUUGGUGAUAUUUGGGUGAAAUAAACAUUGAAAUAAG